rnacentral:rRNA from 1 species
CAAUCCUAAGUAAAGUNCCGUACGGGUGAGUAACACGUGGAUCAUCUACCUUUUAGUGGGGAAUACCUCCUGGAAACGGGAGACAAUACCGCAUAAGCUCGUAAGAGGAAAGCAGCAAUGCGCUGAAAGAGGAGUCCGCGGCUGAUUAGCUAGAUGGCGGGGUAAUGGCCCACCAUGGCGAAGAUCGGUAGCCGGCCUGAGAGGGCACACGGCCACACCGGAACUGAGACACGGUCCGGACUCCUACGGGAGGCAGCAGUGGGGAAUAUUGGACAAUGGGGGAAACCCUGAUCCAGCGACGCCGCGUGUGUGAAGAAGGCCUGCGGGUUGUAAAGCACUUUUAGUGGGGACAAAAAGCUACGGACUAACACUCUGUGGUCUUGAUUUAACCCAAAGAAAAAGCACCGGCUAACUCUGUGCCAGCAGCCGCGGUAAUACAGAGGGUGCGA